AACUUCUGAAUGUUGACCUCGGAUCAGGUAGGAAUACCCGCUGAACUUAAGCAUAUCAAUAAGCGGAGGAAAAGAAACCAACAGGGAUUGCCCUAGUAACGGCGAGUGAAGCGGCAACAGCUCAAAUUUGAAAUCUGGCUUUCGGGCCCGAGUUGUAAUUUGUAGAGGAUACUUUUGAUGCGGUGCCUUCCGAGUUCCCUGGAACGGGACGCCAUAGAGGGUGAGAGCCCCGUCUGGUUGGAUGCCAAAUCUCUGUAAAGUUCCUUCGACGAGUCGAGUAGUUUGGGAAUGCUGCUCUAAAUGGGAGGUAUAUGUCUUCUAAAGCUAAAUAUUGGCCAGAGACCGAUAGCGCACAAGUAGA
rnacentral:rRNA from 1 species